UACAGAGGGUGCAAGCGUUAAUCGGAAUUAUUGGGCGUAAAGCGCGUGUAGGCGGCUUAGCAAGUCGGGCGUGAAAUCCCCGGGCUCAACCCGGGAACUGCGUCCGAUACUGGCAGGCUUGAAUCCGGGAGAGGGAUGUGGAAUUCCAGGUGUAGCGGUGAAAUGCGUAGAUAUCUGGAGGAACACCGGUGGCGAAGGCGGCAUCCUGGACCGGUAUUGACGCUGAUGCGCGAAAGCCAGGGGAGCAAAGCGGG
rnacentral:rRNA from 1 species